rnacentral:rRNA from 1 species
UAACCCUACGGGAGGCAGCAGUGGGGAAUAUCGCACAAUGGGGGAAACCCUGAUGCAGCGACGCCGCGUGAGUGAAGAAGUAUUUCGGUAUGUAAAGCUCUAUCAGCAGGGAAGAAAAUGACGGUACCUGACUAAGAAGCCCCGGCUAACUACGUGCCAGCAGCCGCGGUAAUACGUAGGGGGCAAGCGUUAUCCGGAUUUACUGGGUGUAAAGGGAGCGUAGACGGCGAUGCAAGUCUGAAGUGACAGGCGGGGGCCCAACCCCCGGACUGCUUUGGAA